rnacentral:rRNA from 1 species
CAAUAGCGUAUAUUAAUGUUGUUGCAGUUAAAAAGCUCGUAGUCGAAUUUCUCUCCAGCCGGUCUGGGACUUUCAUUAGUCUUCAGAUUGUCUGGGGAUCCUUGCGCAGAGCCAUGAAGUAAUUCAUGGGGAUGCGCAUCGUUUACUGUGAAUAAAUUAGAGUGUUUCACGCAGGCAUUUGCAUAAAUACAACGCAUGGAAUAAUAAGAUACGACUUGGGCGUCUCUUGUUGGUUUUGCACCGAAGUAAUGAUUAAAAGGAGCAGUUGGGGCUAUCCGUAUUGGGUUGUCAGAGGUGAAAUUCUUAGAUUUACUCAAGACGAACUACUGCGAAAGCAUUUAGCAAAAAUGUUUUCAUUGAUCAAGAACGAAAGUUUGGGGAUCGAAGAUGAUUAGAUACCAU